rnacentral:misc_RNA from 1 species
AAGUCGUAACAAGGUUUCCGUAGGUGAACCUGCGGAAGGAUCAUUACCAAUCCAUCUAAUCCUUUCAACCCAUGUGCACGAAGACUGUCUGUCUAUGGUCCUUGGGGCGGGCAAAACUGCGCUUCAACGCAGCGUCGCCCACCCCAACGGUCGCCAUCUUUUGUUAAAAUCCUCUUUACUACUGUUAAUUCGGCAUUGAUUAUUAUUAAUAUUAAAGACAACUUUUAACGGUGGAUCUCUUGGCUCGU